CCUACGGGAGGCAGCAGUGAGGAAUAUUGGUCAAUGGGCGAGAGCCUGAACCAGCCAAGUCGCGUGAGGGAGUACUGCCCUAUGGGUUGUAAACCUCUUUUGUCGGGGAGCAAAAGCCAGACGUGUCCGGGUGUGGGAGUACCCGUAGGAAAAGCAUCGGCUAACCCCCGUCCCGCAGCCGGGGUAAUUCGGGGGGUGCGAGCUUUAACCGGGUUUAUUGGGUUUAAAGGGUGCGCAGGCGGGUUUUUAAGUCAGCGGUAAAAUCGUGGGGCUCAACCCCAUCCAGCCGUUGAAACUGGGGAUCUAGAGUGUGCGAGAGGUAUGCGGAAUGCGUGGUGUAGCGGUGAAAUGCAUAGAUAUCACGCAGAACCCCGAUUGCGAAGGCAGCAUACCGGUGCACAACUGACGCUCAGGCACGAAAGCGUGGGUAUCGAACAGGAUUAGAUACCCGAGUAGUC
rnacentral:rRNA from 1 species